CCACCGUCAAGUUUCCUCAAAUCCCAGAAGCCACAAAUUCAAGCUUUGCCUAAGGAGGUUCCUGUGGUCCCGUCGGAUCUUCCAUUGACCUCAGUGUCGCGCAUGUGUGAGAAUACAGCACUGACAAUGCUCCAGGCAACUGAAACGCCAGGACCAAAUCAGGACCUGCCAGGGACAGCUUGCACCCUCUCUCUUUGAAUCCACACUGGAUCUGUUCGCCUUGGGGAUCUUUGCUAAAUAUGCAGAGACACCUGAAAUUGACAGAACCACAUUAAAGACAC